AGUGAACGCUGGCGGCAGGCCUAACACAUGCAAGUCGAACGGCAGCACAGGAGAGCUUGCUCUCUGGGUGGCGAGUGGCGGACGGGUGAGGAAUACAUCGGAAUCUACUCUGUCGUGGGGGAUAACGUAGGGAAACUUACGCUAAUACCGCAUACGACCUACGGGAGAAAGCAGGGGAUCUUCGGACCUUGCGCGAUUGAAUGAGCCGAUGUCGGAUUAGCUAGUUGGCGGGGUAAAGGCCCACCAAGGCGACGAUCCGUAGCUGGUCUGAGAGGAUGAUCAGCCACACUGGAACUGAGACACGUUCCAGACUCCUACGGGAGGCAGCAGUGGGGAAUAUUGGACAAUGGGCGCAAGCCUGAUCCAGCCAUACCGCGUGGGUGAAGAAGGCCUUCGGGUUGUAAAGCCCUUUUGUUGGGAAAGAAAUCCAGCUGGCUAAUACCCGGUUGGGAUGACGGUACCCAAAGAAUAAGCACCGGCUAACUUCGUGCCAGCAGCCGCCGUAA
rnacentral:rRNA from 1 species